UUUAAAAAGCAUAAUGCUCUUAAUUGCUGAGCUAUCCCUCCAGCACCUUGCUUUGUUUUUUGAGACAGGGUAUCCCAGGCUGGCCCCGAUUCUCUUGCUGGGAUUAUAGGCAGGUACUAGGUGUUUUAAAAAUACGGUGAUCUCACUAUGCUGCUCAGGGUAAUUUCCCACUCCUGUGCUCUUAAUGAGUCUCCUGUCUCGUCUUCCAAGUAGUUAAGAGCACACAUUUCACAGGUACUUUGACAAAUGGAGCCGGGGAGACCAGGGGACGGGGGGGGGGCACCAAACCAGAACAUCCAAUGACAGAGCUGCAGUCUCUGUAGCCCUCACAGAGCUACAACCAUUUUCUUAAGUAUUUUCAAAGAAUCUGACCAGCUCUGCAAAAAUCUGUACAGUUUUUAUACCGAAGCUGUUGUUGAGCUAUACUUGAAUUCCUGUUCUUAAUAAAACAAUAGCCUAAACCCCACAAUACUGUUCUCACACCGCCAGUCAUCACGGAAUAGCCAUCUUUCCUAUCCGUUUUCCAUUCCUCUUUUCCCUCCUCCUCGCUGCUUCUGUCCUUGGACCCUCUUCAUGUUUCUCUUUUGGCUCAGCUGUGUUCUGCCCAUCUGGCUAUUUUUGGCUCAUUAUUCAGACCACAUUCCACCCCCUUUUGGAGUAUUCCCAAUGGAGGGGCCUGAAAGUUUGUUCUUUAUCUUUGGACGAUGUUCAGAGCAAAAUGGGAAGAAUAGGGUGGUAGUCUUUUAUGAAGUGUUUUUUUUUUUUUUUUUUUUUUUUUUUUUUUUUUUUUUUUUUCUCAUUACCUUCAGGAGGUAUGUGACUUUUCUCUCUGGCAGAGUGUCAGUUACUUUUCUGUGAAGAGACACCGGGAUCAAAGUGACUUUUAGAAAGCAUUUAGCUGGGGGCUUGCUUGAAGGUGAGUCCAUGGCCAUCAUGGUGGAUAGCAUAGUAGCAGGCAGGCAAACAUGGUGCAGAAGCAGUAGCUGGCAGCUUAACCACAAGUCAAAAGCAUAGACAGGUAACUGACUACAAUGGGGGGGGGGCUUUGAAACCUCCAAGACCACCCCCAGUACCACACCUCCUCCAACAAGGCCACACCUCCUAAUCCUUCCUGAACAGUUCUACUAACUGGGGACCAAACCUUCAAAAACAUGAGCCUAUGUGGGCCAUUCUCAAUCAGACCACCAUGAAUGGUAAGUCUGGUUGUUUUACCUAUUUAUUGCUACGUCUCAACCUUCAGAUUCUCCUUUCAUUUCUUUUUGUAUUUCUUUGCAGGACAUGUGAGGACAUCCUGCCUCCUGACUUGUUAGGCUCUCCUUUACCAUGACAGUGACAGCACUCUCUGGUUGCUCUUUGCCGUGAUGUUCUGCCUUACCCUAGACAGCCCUAAAAAAAGCAGUGAAGCCAGAUUCCUACAGACUGAAACCAGGAGCAGAACCCAUAAAUUUGUACAAUUGGAAUAACAAUCAAAAGGGAAGAAAAUGAGUGAAGAAGCUACUAAGGACGACUGGCAGCUCCUGCCUCAGUGGGCAAUGCAAGCAGCAGAAGGAGCCUGGAAGACGGCUCCGCAGGUAAAGAUGCUGGCUGUGCAAGACUGAUGACUGAGCUCAAUCUCCAUACCCCCCCCCCAUCAAAAACAGAUGUGCUGUAUACCUAUGGCCCUACAGCCCUACAGCAAGACGGGAGGCAGAGACAGGCAAACUGCUCAGGAGCACGAGGCCAGCUAGCCUGGCAUAUGCAGCAAAGCAGCAGAAGCAACAUGCACUUUCGGAACAAGGAAGAAGACACCGAGGCCCUAGUGGGGGGCGAUGGCACCAUAUGCAGGUUUUCUGUUGGAUCUGGCUGAAUGAAGAUGAAGGAUGGUAUCUGGCCCAUCUACCACCCUAGGUCCACCAUGCUGUGUGUCUUCCUGUGUCUGGAGGUGCAUGGCAGAUGCUCUGGAGAGUCAGGGGGGAAAGCAAAAGAGGGAGCCAGGUGUCAUGCCUGGAGAGGCCAUGCUCCACCGAAUGAGGACAGCUGUGACUCGGUUGAUCACUGUGGCAUGGAAACAAGGUCUAGCAUCGUUCAGAUAUGGCUUCUAACUAAAGUGGAUAAUAUUUAUUUUUUAAAUUUUUAAAAAAGAUUUAUUUUAUUUUGAA